rnacentral:rRNA from 1 species
AUUGAACGCUGGCGGCAUGCCUUACACAUGCAAGUCGAACGGCAGCACGGGGGCAACCCUGGUGGCGAGUGGCGAACGGGUGAGUAACGCAUCGGAACGUGCCCAGUAGUGGGGGAUAACCAGUCGAAAGACUGGCUAAUACCGCAUACGACCCAAGGGUGAAAGCGGGGGACCGUAAGGCCUCGCGCUAUUGGAGCGGCCGAUGUCUGAUUAGCUAGUUGGCGGGGUAAGAGCCCACCAAGGCGACGAUCAGUAGCUGGUCUGAGAGGACGACCAGCCACACUGGGACUGAGACACGGCCCAGACUCCUACGGGAGGCAGCAGUGGGGAAUUUUGGACAAUGGGCGCAAGCCUGAUCCAGCCAUGCCGCGUGCGGGAAGAAGGCCUUCGGGUUGUAAACCGCUUUUGGCAGGAACGAAACGGUGCAAGCCAAUACCUUGCGCUAAUGACGGUACCUGCAGAAUAAGCACCGGCUAACUACGUGCCAGCAGCCGCAGUAAAAC